GGACUCCAUUUCCCUUGCCCCGUGUACACUAGCUUCCCAUUCAUUUUCAAUGGAAGGAAAGCGGUGAGAAGCGGAGAGGGCGUGGGACCUUUGGGCGGUGCAAACGUGGCGUGUAGCAAGCGGUAAAUUGCUGUGUGCUGCUAAGGCCGCCAAUUGUAACUCCUUUGUGGGCGUGCUGGCAGCAUAUAGCAGCAUUUGUAUGUAGGCCUGGUUAUUACAUCGGUAAAUAGUAAUAUGCUCUAAAACACUCUGGUGACAAACAAACUUUGCUGCCCUGAUCACAAUUGUCCACAUGACUGGGAGAACUUAUUCAAAUUCCUUGUAACUGGAGAUUCUUUCAAAACGAUUGGCUACAGUUACUGUGUAGGGCACUGCAAGGUUGGGUGACCAGGGCCAUCUGGGACUGCCUCCUGGAGGAAUUCAGGCGUGUGAAGGCUACUUGUGUCCUGUAUAACUUCAUGAGGAUGGACAUGAGGAACAGGAUGGGAUCUGCAGCUCGCCGCUGUGUGCCAGAGGAGAAAGUCUGGUGCUCAGCAGGAUGUGUCAAGGAUGGGGUCCAACAACACAGCAAGAGAGGCAAUCUGUGUUAUCAGCUGUGUCGGUGAAUCCCUCCCGCAUCUGAACUGGCUACAUAGAGGGCACAGCAUGAUCAGAGGAAUGUUUUGAUGUAAGAGAGGAUGCUAACCCCCAGUCCCGUCAUCGCCACCUUACCCGUUCUUAAGAUAACCUUCGGGCUGACUAGAGAAACUAUUAUGUAACUGUGAUGAACUGAGAGAAUAUUAGGGUAGCACUGUGACUCAUUAAUCAUAUGCUGCCUUCCCUGCUCCUCUGUUCUUUCCCUUUCUGUCUUUUACACCUCUCUCGCCACCUCUUUCUUUCUCUGUUUUUAUAAUGCACAACAGCUGUGCAUUGAAGUAAAGAUUGAACUUGCAUUUAUAAUAUAUUACAAUUAUAAUAUUUAUAAUGCAUGUAUUUAUAACACUUGGAUAAUGAACUUCUUUCAAUAAAGCGUUUCAC
rnacentral:lncRNA from 1 species